rnacentral:pre_miRNA from 1 species
UACAUACUCCCUCCAUCCCAAAAUUCUUGUCUUAGAUUUGUCUAGAUACGGAUGUAUCUAAUACUAAAAUGUGACUUGAUACAUCCGUAUUUAGACAAAUCUAAGACAAGAAUGACUUGAUACAUCCGUAUCUAGACAAAUCUAAGACAAGAAUUUUGGGACGGAGGGAGUAUUUU